AUGUCUUCCUCCUCCGGUGCCGCCCAGUCCAAUCUCAAUGGGCAGGUCAUCGAGAAGCUCUCCUGCACGAAUUACGUGCUGUGGCGCACGCAGAUCACACCCCAACUGCGUGGCGCCGGUGUCUUCGGCUACAUCGACGGCACACUACCGGAGCCGGCCAAGCUCCGCGCCGCCAAGGACAAGGACGGCAAGGACACCUUCGAGCCCAACCCUCUCCACCCUCUUUGGGUCAGGGAGGACCAGCAGGUGCUCGUCUUCCUCCUCAGCAACCUCUCCAAGGAAGUGCUGGUUACGGUGACCGCGGUCACCACGGUGAACGCGCUCUGGACGACGCUGGCGGGCAUGUACUCGUCGUAG
rnacentral:rRNA from 1 species